rnacentral:lncRNA from 1 species
UGCCCUCACCUAUCCACCCAACGACGACAGUGACAACAGCGAGGACGCAAUGUGCCAGCCCUCGCCUCUCUUCCCCCUCCAGGCUAACGGUGCUCAAAGAAAGGCGGCGGCAGCGGCAAGGGGCGGGCGCCAGUGACCGAAGCCAUGGGCAACUGUGGGCGAGCGGAGUGCCAAAGCAGCACAUCAGGGAAGGCCGCCAGACAGCUCUCAGCAGACGGGGGCAGCUGGAAUUGAGACAACGGAAGGAAGGCCUCCAGAGCCAAUGUAUGGGGUGCCCAUGGGACUCUCCUCCGAUUCCUGAUGCAGUGUGUGGUGAGUCUCUUAGCUCCCUUUCCCACUGUAAUUUUGAAGAGGUUAUCAGAAACAUACCCUCAUGUGCCAUGAACAUUUGGUAACAGUAUUCAUGUGGCAGAGCAAAAUGAAAGCUACUACUGGUUGUGGGGGAAAUGAUGUGCUGGUGGGGUAGAUUUGGGAGAUUGAGCACUUUUCAGAAUUACUAGGUCCUCUCUGCUCAAUUGCUCCAUGGCAUUUUGCACACCUUUAUUGGUAUAAUGUGGGGAUCAUGUCAUUCUAUUCAAAGCCAGGGUUUUAUUGGUGAUGGAAACCAUGGAAGAAGCAGGUCAGGAUGCUAAUGUCAGGUGUCAGGGCAAGGAGAUGAACUUGCUCCUGUAAUGCGAAAGAAAAACACAUAAAGGAUCCUUCCACACUACAGGAAUAAAGCAUAGUGAUUUCGUUUUAAACACCAGAGCCACAUCCUAUGGAAUUCUGGGUUUUGUAGUUUGGUGUGACACUGUGUUUAUAUAUGCUUUCAAAUCACCUAUCAACUUAUGGUGAGCCCAUGAAUUUCAUAGAGUUGAUUUAGGCAAGAGGUGCUGCUUUUUGGAUUUCACGUGUUAUAUUUUGUGAACCUUGACGCCUCCGGGAUCCUCAGACCUUUUUUUUUGACAAAAAAAAGUGAUUGGACGCUUCUGGAAACAAGGUGCUCAAGUGCUGCUUAACAUUUUUGAGAACUAGAAAUAGACUUCGAAUCACUUUGGGUUUUUAUUUUGUUUUUCUGUUGUCCAUGUGGUUCCCAGAACAGGUCCAAGAUAUAAAAAUGUGCCUCAUUUGGUCACCCCUGUACUAAAGCAUUGUACACCCCUGAGCAUUAAGCAUUGUAGACCAGCAUUAUUCUGUAGACCAGGAUUUGAAUCCCUACUGAGCCAUGGAAACUCAGUGGGUGAUGUUGAGCAAGUCACACUUUCUCAGCUUCACAGGAAGGCAAGGGCAAACCUUUUUCGGGUUGCCAUAAGUUGGAAAUUAAAGCACACAAUAACAGCCAGGACAAAAGCAACCCACUUAUCUGGCAUCUCAUUCUUGGAUCAGACCCUCCUCUCCUCUAC